rnacentral:lncRNA from 1 species
GACCACCGUUCACAUCGUUCUCCUUCCUUCCUGCUUUCCUUUGUAUAGAGAUUUCAGCAAGAAAAACUGGCACAGUAUAAUUUUCCUUGUUGACUGCACACAUUCUUGUGGUUUUGACUUUGAAAUCAUAACACUGGAGCUAGGAUUCUGGUGUCUACCAGAGUAAAACACGGUGUACAUUGUUACACUUCGAUUUCUGUGUCGAUUACGUCAUGUUCAUCAUCCGAAGAGGAAAUACUGUCUUUAGAAGGUGUUCUGCCCAUCUCUGCUUUGGUUUAAUCAUAGAAGGCCAAUUAAUUUCCAAGUUUUUGGAGGUGAGGUAUCUCUUCACUGCUCCUGCUUGCUACCUACAACCCCUUUCUAAAAUUCUUAAUUUCCAAAAGGAAAAAAAAUGCUUUAAGAAUUUAGUCUUACAUACUGAAUAAUUA